GCGCUCGCCUCCACAGGAAGCGGACGAGGUUGUUAGUGAUUCCCUUGAUCUGGCCUAUCCUUUCUCCACCUCUCCUCCUGCUAUAUAUACGUGUCUCGCCCGGCAGAGUGAAUCAUCAUUCUCUUUCUGAGCUCUACAUACACGACUCGCAAAAGAGAGAGAGCAGAUCAGAUCGCAUCUGCGUGCUGCGCCCAUGGAGGGAAGAAGCGCUCUCUGUUUCCUCGUCGUGCUCGCCCUUCUCGCAAGCCCUACUCUCGCAGAACAAAAAUGCUACAAGGAGCGCUUCUACUCCAUGAUAUGCAUGAAGUGGCACUGCGCGAUGGAGUGCGUCAACCAGAGCCCGGAACUGUUGCUCAAGGACGCCCAUUGCACCACCAAGCACGUCGUGAUGCGCUACUGCAACUGCGAGAUGUGCACAAAGGAGUAGACUACUCUAGUCUGGUCUAGUUAGCUAGGGGGGCGUACCACCAAUAAGUCCAUACGUAGCUAGAGAAUAAUACAGUAAUCUAGGAGUAUGCAUGUCGUCGAUGACAUACAUGCAUGCAUGUCACUGCUAGCUAGUACGCCUCGGCUUGAGCAGAUCUAUUUUGGAAUUGAUCAAUAAAGAUUCUGGAUGUGAGUUCCGUUUUGUUUCGUCCUGAUUUGAUUGUAUGUUGGCCAGAUUCUUC